UAAUAGCAGUUUAUGUGUGAUUUUAUCAUGUACUGUAGAUCAUAUGAUAAAUGUUGUUUCUCCAGAACUGUACUGAGUGAGAAAACAACCGUCCUCAAGCCAAAAUCUCCAGAGAAGACCAAACCCGAUGAAAAAGACCCUGAGAAAUCUCCUGCCAAAAAUCUUGAAGGACGGGACCAGCAACCAGAUCCUGUGGUCCCCACGAGCCGCUUUAUUGAGCUGAAGACACUGCUCGUGAGCAAUCUGCACCCAAUGGUCACCGAACAACAGCUUAUUGAAAAGUUUGGUGCAUUGGGGUCCAUCUCGACUGUGCAAGUGUGCAGAAACAACAUCAUCUCUCCUGCUUAUGCCUUUGUGACUUUCCAUCAUCGACGUGAUGCAGUGCGAGCACAAAAAGCUCUGAACUUCACUGAUUUACUGAAUAAACCUCUGAUCAUCAUGUGGGGCCCAGACAAGACAAUUGAGGUGCUCUCAUAUAAUGACAGCAGCUCUCCAAGACAAACAGAGGAGAGAGAGACAGCUGGAGAAACAGAGGAGAGAAAGACCAGUGAAGAAAUAGAGAGAGAGGCCGCUGGAGAUACAGAGGAGAGAAAGACCAGUGGAGAAACAGAGAGAGAGGCUGCUGGUGAAACAAAGGAGAGAGCGAACAGCGAGUCUUCAUGGGGAAGAAGGAUCUCCAACAAUGUGAAAAGUGCUAUGAAAGCUGCGGUGAGCAGUCCAGCAGCCUGGGUCGGAGUCGGCAUAGGUGUUUGUGCUGCUUAUGCCUACUUCAGGAGCAGGAGCUAGUGUGGACACAUUCUAAAAGACGAGAAGGCCUGCCUCACGAUCUCCACUCAUCAUCCCCAGAGUGACCAAUCACUGCUCCAGAAAGAACUUGAUUUCCCCAGCAGGCCAAACACUUGCAAUAAAUGUGAAUUGAAUAAACUGUCUUGUGUGUGUCUCAUUCAGCAUUAAAGCUCAGCCUUGUAAUUUAUAUUCAUCCAAGAGAAGCAUAACAGCACUUUGUUCCAGACACAGAAGUAAACAAUAGGAUUUUCUUCACAUCUAUUGAUGUGUUAGACAAUAACUUAUAGAACGUUUGAGAAGAAGGACUGCAUCAAAGAACAAUCAAAUGUAGAAUUGCAAAUCAGGAUUUCAAUUAUAAUGUACAGUGGGUUCUAAUAAUGUCUGUACAGGAAGAUAUUCUAAAGAACGUCGGAAAAAAGCAGCUGUUGACUUCCAUAGUAUUUUUGGUUCCUACUAUUGUGGGUUUUUUUCGGUACCACUUUAUUUUGAUGGUCCAUUUGAGUAUUAGUAGACUGUCUGCUUAAUAUCUGCUGAUUCUGCUCCUUCAACAGACAUUUAACUGACUGUAAGAAACUUUGCAAGUGCAUGUCAACUUACCCUAACCCCAACCCAACAGUCUAAUGAAAAUUAGUUGGCAUGUACUGUAGAUGCAAUGUAACUUAAAUUCAACAAACUGACCAUCAAAAUAAAGUUUGGCUGUUUUUCUUUUACAACAUUCUUCAAAAUAUCUUCUUUUGUGUUCAACAGAAGAAAGAAAUUCAAGGUUUGAG
ensembl:processed_transcript